rnacentral:rRNA from 1 species
UCCCGCCUGCCCAGUGACUCUUUAAACGGCCGCGGUAUCCUAACCGUGCAAAGGUAGCAUAAUCACUUGUCCCCUAAAUAGGGACUAGAAUGAACGGCUAAAUGAGGACAAAACUGUCUCUUACGGAUUAGCCAAUGAAAUUGAUCUUCUAGUACAAAAGCUGGAAUAAACCCAUAAGACGAGAAGACCCUGUGGAGCUUUAAAACCAAAACCACCAAACAUGGUUCCUGGUUUUUUAGUUGGGGCGACUUUGGAGCAAAAAAAACCCUCCAAAACAUAAAGCUGUUUAUUAAGAAUAACAUACCAAAAAUAACUCUAUAGACCCAGCAACAUUUUGUUGUCUGAUCAAUGAACCAAGUUACCCCAGGGAUAACAGCGCCAUCCUCUUCUAGAGUCCCUAUCGACAAGAGGGUUUACGACCUCGAUGUUGGAUCAGGACACCCCUAUAGUGCAGCCGCUAUAAAAGGUUCGUUUGUUCAACGAUUAAAGUCCUACGUGAUCU